ACGGGGGAGGAACACGUGGGUAACCUGCCCUGAAGUGGGGGAUAACAUUUGGAAACAGAUGCUAAUACCGCAUAGAUCCAAGAACCGCAUGGUUCUUGGCUGAAAGAUGGCGUGAGCUAUCGCUUUUGGAUGGACCCGCGGCGUAUUAGCUAGUUGGUGAGGUAAUGGCUCACCAAGGCGAUGAUACGUAGCCGAACUGAGAGGUUGAUCGGCCACAUUGGGACUGAGACACGGCCCAAACUCCUACGGGAGGCAGCAGUAGGGAAUCUUCCACAAUGGACGCAAGUCUGAUGGAGCAACGCCGCGUGAGUGAAGAAGGCUUUCGGGUCGUAAAACUCUGUUGUUGGAGAAGAAUGGUCGGCAGAGUAACUGUUGUCGGCGUGACGGUAUCCAACCAGAAAGCCACGGCUAACUACGUGCCAGCAGCCGCGGUAAUGCGUAGGUGGCAAGCGUUAUCCGGAUUUAUUGGGCGUAAAGCGAGCGCAGGCGGUUUUUUAAGUCUGAUGUGAAAGCCCUCGGCUUAACCGAGGAAGCGCAUCGGAAACUGGGAAACUUGAGUGCAGAAGAGGACAGUGGAACUCCAUGUGUAGCGGUGAAAUGCGUAGAUAUAUGGAAGAACACCAGUGGCGAAGGCGGCUGUCUGGUCUGUAACUGACGCUGAGGCUCGAAAGCAUGGGUAGCGAACAGGAUUAGAUACCCUGGUAGUCCAUGCCGUAAACGAUGAAUGCUA
rnacentral:rRNA from 1 species